UCUUUCCUACGGGGGGCAGCAGUGGGGAAUAUUGGGCAAUGGACGCAAGUCUGACCCAGCAACGCCGCGUGAAGGAAGAAGGCUUUCGGGUUGUAAACUUCUUUUAAGGGGGAAGAGUAGAAGACGGUACCCCUUGAAUAAGACACGGCUAACUACGUGCCAGCAGCCGCGGUAAUACGUAGGUGGCAAGCGUUGUCCGGAUUUACUGGGUGUAAAGGGCGUGCAGCCGGAGAGACAAGUCAGAUGUGAAAUCCACGGGCUCAACCCGUGACCUGCAUUUAAAACUUUUUCCCUUGAGUGUCGGG
rnacentral:rRNA from 1 species